UACGUAGGGUGCGAGCGUUGUUCGGAAUUAUUGGGCGUAAAGAGCUCGUAGGCGGUUUUUCGCGUCGGAUGUGAAAGCCCGGGGCUUAACUCCGGGUCUGCAUUCGAUACGGGCAGGCUAGAGUUCGGUAGGGGAGAUCGGAAUUCCUGGUGUAGCGGUGAAAUGCGCAGAUAUCAGGAGGAACACCGGUGGCGAAGGCGGAUCUCUGGGCCGAUACUGACGCUGAGGAGCGAAAGCGUGGGGAGCGAACAGG
rnacentral:rRNA from 1 species